rnacentral:ncRNA from 2 species
UAUAUUAGACUCAUAUUUACCUGUAUAUGUUCAGUAAUAUGGACUGGACGUUUCUACCGAGCUGCCGUAAAUAGCUUGACUACAUGGGAAAAAGUGCGUUGC